AUUGAACGCUGGCGGCAGGCCUAACACAUGCAAGUCGAGCGGAUGAAGGGAGCUUGCUCCUGGAUUCAGCGGCGGACGGGUGAGUAAUGCCUAGGAAUCUGCCUGGUAGUGGGGGAUAACGUCCGGAAACGGGCGCUAAUACCGCAUACGUCCUGAGGGAGAAAGUGGGGGAUCUUCGGACCUCACGCUAUCAGAUGAGCCUAGGUCGGAUUAGCUGGUUGGUGGGGUAAAGGCCUACCAAGGCGACGAUCCGUAACUGGUCUGAGAGGAUGAUCAGUCACACUGGAACUGAGACACGGUCCAGACUCCUACGGGAGGCAGCAGUGGGGAAUAUUGGACAAUGGGCGAAAGCCUGAUCCAGCCAUGCCGCGUGUGUGAAGAAGGUCUUCGGAUUGUAAAGCACUUUAAGUUGGGAGGAAGGGCAGUAAGUUAAUACCCUGCUGUUUUGACGUUACCAACAGAAUAAGCACCGGCUAACUUCGUG
rnacentral:rRNA from 1 species